rnacentral:rRNA from 1 species
CCUACGGGCGGCAGCAGUGGGGAAUAUUGGACAAUGGGGGCAACCCUGAUCCAGCCAUGCCGCGUGUGUGAAGAAGGCCCUCGGGUUGUAAAGCACUUUCAGUGAGGAAGAACGCCUGGUGGUUAAUACCCAUCAGGAAAGACAUCACUCACAGAAGAAGCACCGGCUAACUCCGUGCCAGCAGCCGCGGUAAUACGGAGGGUGCGAGCGUUAAUCGGAAUUACUGGGCGUAAAGCGCGCGUAGGUGGCUUGAUAAGCCGGUUGUGAAAGCCCCGGGCUCAACCUGGGAACGGCAUCCGGAACUGUCAAGCUAGAGUGCAGGAGAGGAAGGUAGAAUUCCCGGUGUAGCGGUGAAAUGCGUAGAGAUCGGGAGGAAUACCAGUGGCGACGGCGGCCUUCUGGACUGACACUGACACUGAGGUGCGAAAGCGUGGGUAGCAAACAGGAUUAGAUACCCCUGUAGUC